rnacentral:lncRNA from 1 species
AAGAAAUUAGGUGCAGAGCAUUGAUUUUGACAUAAUAAAAUCCAUAACAAUUAUGUCACUUCAAUCCGGUAAUACCCUUCCCUUGUUCAAGUUGCCAAUAAUAGAGAGAGAAACUGAUGAUAUCAACAAUUUGACACCCCACAAUUAAUUAUCACACGUAAUACAACCAACACCACAUAUUUGUUUAACACAUAAAUAUGCAUCUAAUUUUUCUAUACCAUAUCACUAAAAAUAAUAGGAUUCAAAAUUAACUCACACCUAGUAAAUACUAAACUUUAAUUCAAACCUCAACUCCUAAAUAAUAAAUCUUAAACUUUAAACAUCACCCUUCCAUCUAAAUACUAAACCCUAAACUCUAAACCCUAAUUACUUUACCCUAAACCCAAAUAUAAACUUUAAACCCAAUUAUCAAAAUCUGAAAAUAGUAUAUAAUAUUAUGUAAUAUUAAACUAAAUCCAAACAAAACUCCUCAAUGCUAAACUCAGACCUAACUUUUGAAUACUAAACCCAAAAAUGCUAUCACUAAACCCAAACCUAAACUCCACCUUCCAAAUACUAAACCCUAAACUCCACCUUCCAAAUACUAAACCCUAAAUCCUAAUCACUAAACCCUAAACCCAAAGACUAUAAACCCAAAUAGAAUGGAACAAAAUACAUAGUAUAGUACAAAUUGUUGAGCAAAAAAAACACUCUUUUUUAAUCGUCAAAUGGAACAUACAUAAUACGGUCACUAAACC